CCUACGGGAGGCUGCAGUGAGGAAUAUUGGUCAAUGGGCUUACGCCUGAACCAGCCAAGUCGCGUGAGGGAAGAAUGCCCUAUGGGUUGUAAACCUCUUUUGUCAGGGAGCAACGCCGGCUACGUGUAGCCGGACUGAGAGUACCUGAAGAAAAAGCAUCGGCUAACUCCGUGCCAGCAGCCGCGGUAAUACGGAGGAUGCGAGCGUUAUCCGGUGUAGUUGGUGUUAAAGGGUGCGUAGGCGGAAUGCAAAGUCAGCGGGAAAAGCGCGGGGCUCAACCUCGCUCCGCCGUUGAAACUGGCGUGCUGGAGUGGGCGAGAGGUAUGUGGAAUGCGUGGUGUAGCGGUGAAAUGCAUAGAUAUCACGCAGAACUCCGAUUGCGAAGGCAGCAUACCGGAGCCCAACUGACGCUGAGGCACGAAAGCGUGGGGAGCGAACAGGAUUAGAUACCCUUGUAGUC
rnacentral:rRNA from 1 species